GAGUUCAGUCUCUGGCCAAACCUACGUAUCUUCACACAGCAAAAGCUGUUCUAGGACAGUUAUGGAAGCAGAAGGCCACUCUGGAGGAAUCGGAGAAGUCUAGAAGGGAAGUGUGCCUUCUCACAGGCAGGCAGAGGCAUGCCAGGCGCCCUCAGUGAUGCCGUGCUGAACGAUGGCUCUCAGACCUCUGACGGCAGCUCCCUGCAAAAAGUCCUUCCACAGCCAAGACAGCGUUCCAGCUAAUACUGCUGAAGUUCCCAAAGUAAUGGAACAAACGGGCUUUCAGAAGAACAUACAGACUAAUAUUUAGAAGAAAACAUAAAAGGAGGCCAGGCAAAGACAGACAUUCUAGGCAGAGGAAAUGGUAUGAUGAAAAGCACAGAGGCUCUAGGAGAUGUGAGAAUUUCAAGGAAUGACAAUGCCUGCAUCUUGAAUGGCUGGAGAUGAGGCCGGGUGAGUCAGGAAUGAGCCUUGAAGGCGACCUGAGAAAUGGGGACGGAGCUCAUAGCACGGGCAAAGGGGAGCCACCAGAGCCGAGUCCCCAAAGCAAGCACCUUCCAGAGGCUGCGCCCAGUGCUACCGCUGCCGCUGUGAAGCACUGCCCACAGGAGGGAGCGGGCAGCCACUUGGGGCUACCAUGGGCCCUGGGCGGGGCUGUGUCUGCCGCCAUAGCAGCCGUACCCGUGGACCUCCAGCCGUCCACAGGAUGACACAGGUGGACACAGGGUGAGUCACUGUCUCCUGAGGUCAUUGGGCUGCAAGGAAAGGGCAGGUUUGGGCCAGCUUCUACGAAGGCCCUUGACUGUGACCUAUAAGGGACCUGGGAGCCCUUCUACCACUUUGGGGGUCCUGGGAUUUUACUGCUCCUGCUUCCUCACAUGCUCUGAGCAUAGCAGUGCCAGCUGGUGCCCAGCUCCAAGUUCCACCUCUUCUCCUACUUAGAACCAGACCACGGACAGCAGACCAACAGCCAGCAGGCUCUGGAGAAGCCGAUCUAGCCGCCUCCCUCUGGCCAAACGAGGAUCUAAAACCCACCGGCCGCUUUUCCUCUGUCGGGGCACCCUCUGGCUUCGUGGUCUUCCCCGGGCUCUGGUCAUCCUGGUCAUUCCACCUCCAGGCUCCCUGCUGAUCUCUGGGAAUGACACCCCUAAACCCUUCAGAGCGGCACUCAGGAAAUACCGACAUUCACUGGUCAUGGGAAGAAACUCCUCAUUGCCCAUGAUUUUCCUGACAGGUGUAUUCCGAGCCAACGAACAGCUGCUUAAUAAGGCUGGGCUAUACUCUGUUUCCCAAUCCCCAGGCCCUGUGAGACCCAAGGGUGGAAAAGGUGGAGAUCCAUGAGCCCUGGGCAGGGACUGUGGGGGCAGGAACGUUGGGCGGGGCCAGAUCCUCUGUCUUUGAGCUCAGGGCACAGAGGAAGCAACUUUCUUUCCAGCUGGUUCUCCAAGUCACUUCAGGCUCUCUCCCAGGCCAGUUCUCACCUUCCUCCGGCCUCCCAAACCACCUGGUUCUCCAAGUCACUUCAGGCUCUCUCCCAGGCCAGUUCUCACCUUCCUCCGGCCUCCCGAACCACUUGGUUCUCCAAGUCACUUCAGGCUCUCUCCCAGGCCAGUUCUCACCUUCCUCCAGCCUCCCGAACCACCUGGCCCACAGCCUCCAGCCUCCCUCUGGCAGGUCCCUGUGGCCUCCCAGCUUCCUCCCACAGCAGCAUCUCCUGCCUCUCCCAGCUUCUCUAAACGUAUUGUUGCUUUUCGGAUAUGGCUAUAUCUCACUAAAACUUCCCUUGUUGUUCUCUGCUGUCUCCCCUCCAGCCCUAACAGAGCUUUUGGUAGAAAUGUUAAUAUAUCACGAGCCCCCUCCUACCUUUUAGAAAUUUUCCCUAGAAGAAAAAAGAUGAAAUACAAUGUCACAAGAGUC